rnacentral:rRNA from 1 species
UACGUAGGGGGCGAGCGUUGUCCGGAUUUAUUGGGCGGAAAAGGCUUGUAGGUGGCCACGCCAAGUCGAAUGUGAAAGCCCCCGGCUCAACUGGGGAGGGUCAUUCGAUACUGUUCGACUCGAAGGCAGGAGAGGGAAGCGGAAUUCCCGGUGUAGUGGUGAAAUGCGUAGAUAUCGGGAGGAACACCAGUGGCGAAGGCGGCUUCCUGGCCUGUUCUUGACGCUGAGGCGCGAAAGCUAGGGGAGCAAACGGG